CUUGUUUUUCCUUUAUAUUAACUGUUUUUAAUUCUAUCUGCCUCUCACACACACAAUAAUACAAAUGGUUUUUUUCUCUCUCUCCUUAUUGAGUAUACAAUUUUCAAAACCAUAUGUAAAGUUUAUAAAGCCUUGUUGAGUUUUUUUAGUUAACAAAAAAUCUUUUGAUGGUGAAAUAAACAGAUUUUCCGGUCACGGAUAACAUCUAGCGGCGGAGUAUGUGGUUAUUCCAAGCCGCCGCCAUCCCAUCGGAGUUUGGACAUAUUAUCUUUUAGUUGUUACGAAUUUUUGGCUGAAGAUCGGUGUCGGUUAACACUGGUUUGAAGUUUGUUCUGUAAGUGUUGUUGGGUUGGUGAUUUGAAAGCGUGAUGGCGUCAAAUCAAGGAAUGAGAACCCCGGUUGUAACCGGAGGUGGUUGUUACUGGCGGUGGAAGGAGACCGAUUGUUGUUCAUGUUGUUUCUUACCUUCGUCAAUUGUUCUCUAAUGUUGGACAUAUUAUCUUUAGUGGUUCAUCAGAUCCGUCGCCGACGUCGCACCCGCCGUUAUUCGGUGCGGGUGGGCGUUGCCAGUGGUGGUUACCGGCGGUGGUUAUGGAUGAUUCCGGUGGUUACAGAAGAUUUCUUCAUGUAUUUGUGUAUACUUUGUGGGUAUAUUUUAUGCUUUAGAAGUUGUACUUUGUAUUUAAGAAAUUGUACAAUAUUUUUGGAACUAAACCGGGUACUGUGCAAACUGAACCGGGUCUUGUAACUGAACCGGCUACAACUGAACCGGCUACAACUGAACCGGUACUGUAGCAGUUUAAAUUGGGAUUGUUAUAUAUAAUAUAUAUAACAUACAUUUGAAAAA